UACGUAGGGGCCGAGCGUUGUCCGGAUUCAUUGGGCGUAAAGGGCGCGUAGGCGGCUUGGCAAGUGGAAGGUGAAAUCCCUCGGCUUAACCGAGGAACUGCCCUCCAAACUGCUUCGCUUGAGACCGGGAGAGGUGAGUGGAAUUCCCAGUGUAGCGGUGAAAUGCGUAGAUAUUGGGAGGAACACCAGUGGCGAAGGCGGCUCACUGGACCGGUACUGACGCUGAUGCGCGAAAGCGUGGGGAGCAAACGGG
rnacentral:rRNA from 1 species